rnacentral:rRNA from 1 species
CCUACGUGAGGCAGCAGUGAGGAAUAUUGCUCAAUGGUCGAAAGACUGAAGCAGCCAAGUAGCGUGGAGGAUGACGGUUUUCGGAUUGGUAACUCCUUUUGAUAGGGAAGUAAAAGACGUUAUCUGACGAAUAAGCACCGGCUAACUCCGUGCCAGCAGCCGCGGUAACACGGAGGGAGCAGGCGUUACUCGGAAUCACUGGGCGUAAAGCGGGCGUAGGCGGGAUAGCAAGUGUGAGGUGAAAUCCUAUGGCUUAACCAUAGAACUGCAGUUGAAACUGGUAUUCUAGAGUAUGGGAGAGGUAGGUGGAAUUCGUGGUGUAGGGGUAAAAUCCGUAGAGAUCACGAAGAAUACUCAUUGCGAAGGCGACCUGCUAGAACAUUACUGACGCUGAUGCGCGAAAGCGUGGGUAGCAAACAGGAUUAGAUACCCGUGUAGUC